CGCACAUUGCGCCCCUUGGUAUUCCAUGGGGCAUGCCUGUUCGAGCGUCAUCUACACCCUCAAGCUCUGCUUGGUGUUGGGCGUCUGUCCCCGCCUCCGCGCGCGGACUCGCCCCAAAUCCAUUGGCAGCGUCCCCUCGCCCCCCUCUCGCGCAGCACGAAUGCGCAUGACGAGGGAGCGGCUCCCGGGAUCGCGACCCACCCCCAAGAUGACCACCGUCUUUGACCUCGGAUCAGGUAGGGAUACCCGCUGAACUUAA
rnacentral:misc_RNA from 1 species